rnacentral:rRNA from 1 species
GAUGAACGCUGGCGGCGUGCUUAACACAUGCAAGUCGAACGAUGAAGCCCAGCUUGCUGGGUGGAUUAGUGGCGAACGGGUGAGUAACACGUGAGUAACCUGCCCUUAACUCUGGGAUAAGCCUGGGAAACUGGGUCUAUUACCGGAUAGGAGCGUCCACCGCAUGGUGGGUGUUGGAAAGAUUUAUCGGUUUUGGAUGGACUCGCGGCCUAUCAGCUUGUUGGUGAGGUAAUGGCUCACCAAGGCGACGACGGGUAGCCGGCCUGAGAGGGUGACCGGCCACACUGGGACUGAGACACGGCCCAGACUCCUACGGGAGGCAGCAGUGGGGAAUAUUGCACAAUGGGCGCAAGCCUGAUGCAGCGACGCCGCGUGAGGGAUGACGGCCUUCGGGUUGUAAACCUCUUUCAGUAGGGAAGAAGCGAAAGUGACGGUACCUGCAGAAGAAGCACCGGCUAACUACGUG